ensembl:lncRNA
GUGGGCACUUUGGAUUAUGCACAUCUGGUCAUGGGUCUGUCUUUGGGGAAAACUCUGGGGUUGAAUCUAACCUCUGAGGUUCUCCACCCCAUCUACCUCAGUGUCUGCUGAAACCCCAGUACAGUUUGUGCUGGAAUCUAGUAAGGUCAUUAACAUUCAACAUCCUGUCAUUAUCAGCCGCAUUCUGGAUGAUUUUGUUACCGCGGAAUUCUGAGAGGGUACAAAUCCGUCUCAGCCCAGCUAAUUAGAUCUACUUUGAAUCUAGUGUUCAAAAAGAAGACAGCGUCACACUUUAGCUCACGAAUCUGUACAAAACAGAGGUAGACAGACGCACAGGUGUGUACAGGAGCUCAUGUGGAGGGAGGCUCACCUGGUGUGGAGCUGCGAAGUCGCAACCUGGAGAAGAGGAGAGCCAGUGGGCUCCGAUCCACGUACUACGUCCAGGGCAGGAGAGGGACGUCCCAACUCCAGCAAGCAGUACCUGGCCCUGCCUCCACUCUGCUCUGUUGAGAUCCUCAGUGGGUUGGGUGAUGCCCACUCACGCUGGGGACCACCAGCGUUUUUACUGCCCACCCAUUCAAAUGCUAAUGUCUACUGGAGAGACCCUCGUGGACACACCCAGAAAUAAUGUUUUACCAGGAUUGGGCAUCCCUGAGCCUAGCCACGUUGACACCUAAAAAGAAUCAUCACAGACCUGUGCUUUCGUCCCUUCACCUUGCUUACUUGCCAUCCACCUCGGUUGUCUUUGUCUCUUUGCUAUUCUUCAGUCUGGCCCUGCUAUCUACCUCAGGACA